rnacentral:rRNA from 1 species
UACGGAGGGGGCUAGCGUUGUCCGAAGUUACUGGGCGUAAAGCGCACGUAGGCGGCUUUGUAAGUUAGAGGUGAAAGCCCGGGGCUCAACUCCAGAAUUGCCUUUAAGACUGCAUCGCUUGAAUCAUGGAGAGGCGAGUGGAAUUCCGAGUGUAGAGGUGAAAUUCGUAGAUAUUCGGAAGAACACCAGUGGCGAAGGCGGCUCGCUGGACAUGUAUUGACGCUGAGGUGCGAAAGCGUGGGGAGCAAACAGG